rnacentral:lncRNA from 1 species
AUUUGGUAUAAAUCCUCACUGAGUCUCACCACCGAACAGGUCAGUGUUCAGACCCAGUCGCAGAGGCACAGGAUGGGCUGGCACUAGGAGCCCCUGCUUAUAGCAUAUUCUCUGUGAGGGCUGCUGGUGACACCGAGGUUCCAGCUCAUGGGGUUCCUGCCAUCCCCUCUGGGCCAAGUCACCUUAACUCCUGGGGAGCUGCACUGCUGUGUGUGCCCAGGGGAGGAACACACACCCUUCCAGGCAAGAGUGGAAGGGAAGCUGAAAUAGACAAACCCAGAUGGCGUCCCACCUCCUGGGCUGGCCCUCCCGUCUCUUCGAAGUGCUGCGCAAGACAUGNAGAGACAGGUGUGACUGUUGGGAUGAGGGAACUUCUGCCACCCCUGGUGUUCCCCGCUCCAAAGCCAAACUCCCAGGAAAACAAGUCUAACUUGCUGAGCUUUGACCCCAGGCCUGCCUGAUUGCUGGGGGAGGUGAGGGGAGGCCGGAGCAGGAGGCUCAGAAGACCCUCUUGGUUUAGGGAGGGAGGACACAUCCUGGAGCUUGUGCACUGCAGGUUUAGAUAAUGCCUCACAGGAGAUGAUGGUGAUGGUGGGAAGGAUGGACAGACGUCAUGUGUCCAAACGCACACUUGCAAAGGCAGGAGGUGCCACCAUGAUGGUCCUUCUAGCUACAAGCUGUCGCUCUGGCAGGAAUCUGGAGGGGAGUUUGCUUGCAGGAAGGUGACGGAGAGCCGGGAGCUCACUGGCAGCCUCCAGAGUGCCACCUCAGCUCACUGGCGGGUCCCGCUCUCUCCUGCCACUCACGGGGGCACGGCUGGUGAUGAAGGACCCUCGAGGGGAGGCAGCUCAGCAACCCCCUCGUCUGCUGAGUCUGAAUGUCUUCCUCUGGUGGGACUGACAUGGAUGCUGCCGUGGGGCCUCUCCUCCUCCUCCUGCCCCUUCUCAGUGGUGCUGAGUGGGUCUCUUCACCCACUGAGGACUGGGACCCCUGUUUCUCAGCCCCAUGCACAGAGGGUCCAUGCGUCCUGCCUCGGCCCUGAGCCUGGGGGAGGGUCCACCCCAAAUCCUUUCCUGGCUCUGGGACUGCCAGUAAGUCCUGUCCAGGCUGACCCCUGCCCCAGCCAGGGAUGACCUUCCACGGCCUGGGGACAGAGCCUCAGCCCCCAGGAGCACAGGUGCCUGGCAGGCUGGGGGCUGCAGAGGGCAGGACUUCUCAACUCACUGCGGGUCCCUUUCAAGUGAGCUUAGAUGUGCAGCAUGCGUUCUUGAGAAGCUGUGGGUCAUUUCUCAUAUGCCCCAUGCGGACGUGAAUUCCGCAGUUGCCCCUCUCCAGCUGUGGUGGAUGGCCCCUGCUGAGAACCCGCUCUGGGGCAGCUGCUGCCACCUACUGGAGAGAUUGCUUUGUUGCAGCUGAAUGAAAAGAGUUGGUAACCCUGGAGCCUCAGGGCUUUCUGGUUCCCCAGUCAGUUGAUAGGACCGGGACCAAAGGGAGACUUCUGCAUUUUCAGGGUAACUGGGAAACCGUGGGCCCUCCAUCUUGGGCUUCCCGAGCAUGUGUCCUCUUGUUCCCUCUAUUGUCCCAGAGCCAGAAACAGUCAUUACCCCCUUUUGCAGACAAGGAAGAUGAGAUUCAGACUAAUUCUCCUCCUCCUCCUGCCACUCAGCUGUCUUCCCCCACCUCUGAACACAGCACACCUUCAGCCUGUUUCGCUAACAGCACAAAUGCUUCUAAAGGCCGCAGAAGUCCCAGAGUCCCCUGAGUGUGCUCCAGGACCGGGUGUGUGUGUGGGGGGGGUGAGUGCAAGGGACGGCGAAACCAGGUGCCCGCAUGGGAAGAGGUGUGCAGACAAGGAAGGAUGGAGGUAGCUUCCACAGGCUUGCCUCUGUGCAUUCAGCCACCCACAGGCUGACUCUGGGGGAAAUUUCCAGAAAGUUCUAAAAAGCAAAACAAAUUCUCUGUGUGUCGGGUGCUGUGCCGAAGCCACUUGCUUGAGUUGGAGCUUCCCCCUGCAGCCCUCAUUUCAGCUCAGACCCCGGGCUCUCGGCAGGCCAGGAGGCCGCUCCUGGGUGGAUGUGCAGCUGGGUCUGCAAUGGCUGCAUCUGCGAUACUGCAUCUUCGAUGGCUGCGUCUGCCCUGCAGGCCAGACUGUACCCUGUCGCAGCCCCAGGACUCAGUGAGACAGCUGCUCAGGUAGUAUUCAUGGGGUACAAGAUGCCUCAGGUGUGGGAGGAUGCCCUAGAUCCCACGUGAAGACUACACCCGCCGUUUCUAUUAGGAGCGUGGGCACCUGGGAUCUUGGUCUUUACGGGGUGUCCUGCACCUGGCCCCCGAAGGGUAUCCAGGGACAGUGGAUACUCUAGUUGUGUCCUGAUCCUAGUCUGGAUCAGGAACUCCUGGUACUCUGAGCCUGUUAGCCCCCUCGCCCUGACCUUGGUUGCUAAGUACCUUUCUCUACCAGGCAGCUGAGCUCCUGGGGGACAUGGCUGAUUUUCUGCUGGGGCAGGGAAGGUAGCAGUGAGCUGGGAAGACAAGGCAGAGCUAGAGAAAUCACUCAAGAGCCAGGGGGGACACUACCAAAGGACGCAGGAGCCACACUGAAGGGCUCCGGAUGGUCAGAUCUGAGACAGUGUGAGUAACAAUAAUCAUUGUCACAGAUUACAACCGCAGAAUUAGGAGCAGAAAGGAGGGAGGGAAGCUCCUCUUUCCUUAGAAUAUCAGGUGACAAAUGUGGGAAGCUUGACGGAAACAGAAAACCCAGCCUGCGGCCAACCUCACAGUGGUGAGUGCUGCAGCCACGAAUACCCACCAUGUCCACGUCCACGUGGGGGGGGGGUGCAGGUGUGAGGAGCAGACACUCCGCAGCUUCCUCUUCACCCGUUGGAACUACAGGACAGAACUGCCCCGAUACAGGGCUCGGCAGUCACGCCACCUCUUCCAAGUGACCAGAGCGGAUGCCACCAGGAGUAUACUGCCAGCCUCCCGCCCACGGCUGUGCCAUAACCUCACAACCUUUCAUCACGAAAACCUGAGGGUGAGGGAACCGUCCCGGGUGGCGGAGGCUCAGACAGUGGGAUGGCACACCGUGGGGUCCUGGAUGGGUCCUGCGGCAGGACAUCUGCAGGACAGCUGUCAGCCUGAAGGAGGCUGGGGGAUGAGUGAAUGGAGUCCCUCCGGGUCAGAGCCCCAGUCAGGUUCUGUGAACACUCCGGCUACGUGACCUGCCAACGUGCAGGAGAGGCUCUGUAGGAAUCUGCGUCUUUGUACCAUUUUUGCUCUUUUGGUUUGCAGUGUUGCGGCUUGAACCCAAGGCCUUGUGUGACAGACAGCCCAGGUUUUUGCAAUGUUUUUAAAGUUCAAAAUGAUUUCAAGGUGAAAAGUUAGGCAUGGUAGCUUCCAUCUCCAGUCCCAGCUACUUGGGAGGCUGAGGCAGGGGGAUGGCAAGUUCGCGGCCAGCCUGAGCUGCUUAGUGAGACAUCGUCUCAAAGUACCAUGUCAAGGGCUGGGGUGCGGCUCAGUGGCAGAGCACCCUGGGUCCUGUCCCCAGCACCAUGCCCAGGCAAACAAGGCCUGACAAGUGGGUUGACUCCCACGGGUUUAGAGCCCUGGGACCUCAGGGCUCUUGGGCCUGCGUCCCUGCGAGGCCAUGUAGGGCCAUGUGGGCUUCUGCGGGCUGCACCUUCAUCAGCACAGAGCAGAGGCAAGCGAGUGAGCAAGGAGCACCACCUGGGGGAGCUCCGCCAUCAGAGGAGGACCAGGCACCGUCAGACGCCUGCCCGGGGGCCAUAGGGCAGCCCUCGAGUGAGGCCCACAGGGCUGGAGUGGACGUGCAAUCGCGCACAUGGACGGUGCUCCAACCCAGGAGGAGGCACUGCUCCGCCUGCUCCCAGGGCUGGGGGUGACCACUAGGCCCCCUGCAGACUCGGCCAGCCAAGUGGUGAGUUGGCUGUGGCCAGACAGCUGUGCAGAGCCCAUGCUCUGAAGAAUGAGGACGCCGUCAGGCAAGUUUGGGGCAUGAGUGCAGCGUUCCUUGGGGGUCGGCCUCCAACCUGUUCAGAUUUGGUAUAAAUCCUCACUGAGUCUCACCACCGAACAGGUCAGUGUUCAGACCCAGUCGCAGAGGCACAGGAUGGGCUGGCACUAGGAGCCCCUGCUUAUAGCAUAUUCUCUGUGAGGGCUGCUGGUGACACCGAGGUUCCAGCUCAUGGGGUUCCUGCCAUCCCCUCUGGGCCAAGUCACCUUAACUCCUGGGGAGCUGCACUGCUGUGUGUGCCCAGGGGAGGAACACACACCCUUCCAGGCAAGAGUGGAAGGGAAGCUGAAAUAGACAAACCCAGAUGGCGUCCCACCUCCUGGGCUGGCCCUCCCGUCUCUUCGAAGUGCUGCGCAAGACAUGGACAGCCCAGGACUCUCGGUCUUGCUGUGUGACCUUGAACCAGCCCUGCCCUCUCUGGGCUUUGAGAGGGAUGAUUUGUUCCUGGGGUCUCUGCCUGCAGCUCUUCCUGGUGGAGCCAAGGAAGCCAGGCCCAUUCCUGGAGGGCUUGUGGGCCGGGGCGGGAGUGUCCACUGUCUGCACACAAUCAGGGCUGACUCAGGCGAGGAAGCGCCUGUGUUAAAUAAGGAUCCUGGGUUCUCAGAAGGGAAGUCCAGGAGUGGCCGAUGGACUGGCCGUUGAUAAGGCCCGCAUUGUUCUAGCCUCCCAGAGGCCACACCAUGUCCUGGAGGAGAAAGCCAGGGCUGAGCUCAGGGAACCGCCCUGGGAGGUGUGGGCCCUGGCCAGGAGAGGCUGGCGGUAUAGUGGCCAGCGCAGCUGGGUGCCAGAGCUGUCUGCUCUGGCCAGCUGAGGGCCUGGCCGCUGCCUGACGGCUCCUGCUCCCGGGCCAGAGCAGGGGCCCAGGGGAGCACCCUGCAGGUCCCUCCCAUCAGGGUCAAGGCUGGGCCAGGCAAGGGGCUCUUGAGGCCAGGCCCUUCAGCCUUGAGGAACAAAGGUGGACGGGAACAGGAGGAAGCCACUGUUUACUCUGCUCUCAAGAGCUGCCCUCAAUGCCUCCUCCACAUUGGCCAGCAGAGGACAGGCUAAAGAGGCCAGGCGCCGCACCAGAGAUGCGGGCAAGGCUGUAACUGCCAAUCAAUGCCAGUUUAAUAAGGACCAGGAGGUUUUGGGAAAAAGGAAAUAGAAGAUUUAUUGCUUUGUUACCAAAGGAGAAACAGGGGACUCCUGUCCCAGAAGCUGUGGCUCUCCCGACCAGGAGGGACAGGGGCUUUCAAAGGAACUUCAAGGGUCACCUUCCAGGAGGGGCCCCAAGGCACCCUGAGUGCUGCUAAUUUGGGAGAUGAUCACUUCCCAGAUGCUCCAGGGCCUCUCCUUCCAGUACUGGGUGUGUCCAAGGGCAAUUCACCAGGGGAAGGAAAGAUACC